GCUGGCGGUAUGCUUAACACAUGCAAGUCGAACGAGAAGGAAGAGCUUGCUCUUCCUGAAAGUGGCGAACGGGUGAGUAACGCGUGGGUAACCUACCCUUUGGAAAGGAAUAGCCUCGGGAAACUGGGAGUAAUGCCUUAUAAGAUACGUUUGUCGCACGGCAUUUGUAUUAAACGCUCCGGCGCCAUAGGAUGGACCCGCGUCCCAUUAGCUAGUUGGUGAGAUAACAGCUCACCAAGGCCACGAUGGGUAACCGGUCUGAGAGGGCGAACGGUCACACUGGAACUGAGACACGGUCCAGACUCCUACGGGAGGCAGCAGUGGGGAAUAUUGCGCAAUGGGGGCAACCCUGACGCAGCAAUACCGCGUGAGUGAAGAAGGUUUUCGGAUCGUAAAGCUCUGUUAUUGGGGAAGAAAAAAAGACGGUACCCAAGAAGAAAGUUCCGGCUAACUACGUGCCAGCAGCCGCGGUAAUACGUAGGGAACAAGCGUUGUCCGGAUUUACUGGGCGUAAAGGGCACGCAGGCGGUUUUUUAAGUCAGAUGUGAAAGGCCACAGCUCAACUGUGGACAUGCAUUUGAAACUGAAAGACUUGAGUAUUGGAGAGGCAAGUGGAAUUCCUAGUGUAGCGGUGAAAUGCGUAGAUAUUAGGAGGAACACCGGUGGCGAAGGCGGCUUGCUGGACAAAUACUGACGCUGA
rnacentral:rRNA from 1 species